UUCUGGUUGAUCCUGCCGGACCUGACUGCUAUCGGAUUGAUACUAAGCCAUGCGAGUCGUUGUAGCAAUACAAGGCAUACGGCUCAGUAACGCGUAGUCAACCUAACCUAUGGACGGGAAUAACCUCGGGAAACUGAGAAUAAUGCCCGAUAGAACAUUAUGCCUGGAAUGGUUUAUGUUCCAAAUGAUUUAUCGCCAUAGGAUGGGACUGCGGCCUAUCAGUUUGUUGGUGAGGUAAUGGCCCACCAAGACUAUUACAGGUACGGGCUCUGAGAGGAGUAGCCCGGAGAUGGGUACUGAGACACGGACCCAGGCCCUAUGGGGCGCAGCAGGCGAGAAAACUUUGCAAUGUGCGAAAGCACGACAAGGUUAAUCCGAGUGAUUUCUGCUAAAGAGAUCUUUUGUUAGUCCUAGAAACACUAACGAAUAAGGGGUGGGCAAGUUCUGGUGUCAGCCGCCGCGGUAAAACCAGCACCUCAAGUGGUCAGGAUGAUUAUUGGGCCUAAAGCAUCCGUAGCCGGCUCUGUAAGUUUUCGGUUAAAUCUGUACGCUCAACGUACAGGCUGCCGGAAAUACUGCAGAACUAGGGAGUGGGAGAGGUAGACGGUACUCGGUAGGAAGUGGUAAAAUGCUUUGAUCUAUCGAUGACCACCUGUGGCGAAGGCGGUCUACCAGAACACGUCCGACGGUGAGGGAUGAAAGCUGGGGGAGCAAACCGGAUUAGAUACCCGGGUAGUCCCAGCUGUAAACUAUGCAAACUCAGUGAUGCAUUGGCUUGUGGCCAAUGCAGUGCUGCAGGGAAGCCGUUAAGUUUGCCGCCUGGGAAGUACGUACGCAAGUAUGAAACUUAAAGGAAUUU
rnacentral:rRNA from 1 species